rnacentral:rRNA from 1 species
GCAAGUCUGGUGCCAGCAGCCGCGGUAAUUCCAGCUCCAAUAGCGUAUAUUAAAGUUGUUGCAGUUAAAAAGCUCGUAGUUGAAUUUCGGGAUCAAUAUUUCGGUCAUGCCGUUGGUAUGCACUGUUAUCAUUGAUUUCUCACCUUCUAAAGAACCAUAAUGCCAUUAAUUUGGUGUUACGGGGAAUUAGGACUGUUACCUUGAAAAAAUUAGAGUGUUUAAAGCAGGCUCACGCUUGAAUACAUUAGCAUGGAAUAAUGAAAUAGGACAUCCGAUUCUAUUUUGUUGGUUUCUAGGAUCGAUGUAAUGAUUAAUAGGGAUAGUUGGGGGCAUUAGUAUUCAAUUGUCAGAGGUGAAAUUCUUGGAUUUAUUGAAGACUAACUACUGCGAAAGCAUUUGCCAAGGAUGUUUUCAUUAAUCAAGAACGAAAGUUAGGGGAUCGAAGACGAUCAGAUACCGUCGUAGUCUUAACCAUAAACUAUGCCGACUAGGGAUCGGAUGAUGUUAAUUUUUUAAUGACUCAUUCGGCGCCUACGGGAAAC